rnacentral:rRNA from 1 species
AUGCACGCUGGCGGCGUGCCUAAUCCAUGCAAGUCGAGCGAACAGACGAGGAGCUUGCUCCUCCGACGUUAGCGGCGGACGGGUGAGUAACACGUGGAUAACCUACCUAUAAGACUGGGAUAACUUCGGGAAACCGGAGCUAAUACCGGAUAAUAUAUUGAACCGCAUGGUUCAAUAGUGAAAGACGGUUUUGCUGUCACUUAUAGAUGGAUCCGCGCCGCAUUAGCUAGUUGGUAAGGUAACGGCUUACCAAGGCAACGAUGCGUAGCCGACCUGAGAGGGUGAUCGGCCACACUGGAACUGAGACACGGUCCAGACUCCUACGGGAGGCAGCAGUAGGGAAUCUUCCGCAAUGGGCGAAAGCCUGACGGAGCAACGCCGCGUGAGUGAUGAAGGUCUUCGGAUCGUAAAACUCUGUUAUUAGGGAAGAACAAAUGUGUAAGUAACUAUGCACGUCUUGACGGUACCUAAUCAGAAAGCCACGGCUAACUACGU